rnacentral:rRNA from 1 species
AUUGAACGCUGGCGGUAUGCCUUACACAUGCAAGUCGAACGGUAGAGGGGCAACCCUUGAGAGUGGCGAACGGGUGAGUAAUACAUCGGAACGUGCCCAGUCGUGGGGGAUAACGUAGCGAAAGCUACGCUAAUACCGCAUACGACCUGAGGGUGAAAGCGGGGGAUCGCAAGACCUCGCGCGAUUGGAGCGGCCGAUGGCAGAUUAGGUAGUUGGUGGGGUAAAGGCCUACCAAGCCUGCGAUCUGUAGCUGGUCUGAGAGGACGACCAGCCACACUGGGACUGAGACACGGCCCAGACUCCUACGGGAGGCAGCAGUGGGGAAUUUUGGACAAUGGGCGCAAGCCUGAUCCAGCCAUACCGCGCGCGGGAAGAAGGCCUUCGGGUUGUAAACCGCUUUGUCAGGAGAAAUAUCUGGCUAUACCUACGGAGGAUGACGGUACCUGAAGAAUAAGACACCGG